rnacentral:rRNA from 1 species
GAUGAACGCUAGCGGCAGGCUUAACACAUGCAAGUCGAGGGGUAGAAGCAGCUUGCUGCUUUGAGACCGGCGCACGGGUGCGUAACGCGUAUGCAAUCUACCUUUUACAGAGGGAUAGCCCAGAGAAAUUUGGAUUAAUACCUCAUAGUAUGUGAGAAUCGCAUGGUUUUCACAUUAAAGUUCCAACGGUAAAAGAUGAGCAUGCGUCCCAUUAGCUAGAUGGUAAGGUAACGGCUUACCAUGGCGACGAUGGGUAGGGGUCCUGAGAGGGGAGAUCCCCCACACUGGUACUGAGACACGGACCAGACUCCUACGGGAGGCAGCAGUGAGGAAUAUUGGACAAUGGGCGCAAGCCUGAUCCAGCCAUGCCGCGUGCAGGAUGACGGUCCUAUGGAUUGUAAACUGCUUUUGUACAGGAAGAAACACUCCCUCGUGAGGGGGCUUGACGGUACUGUAAGAAUAAGGAUCGGCUAACUCCGUG